ACUGAGGACUGAGGAGGAUCUCUCGAUGUAAAUAAUAUAGUACUGGCAUUCGUUAUUUACAUCUUUUAGUGGAUAUUGUCAUUGAUCCAGCUUCUGACAAACACAUGGUAAAUAAAGUUAUUAAUUUUCCGACUUUAUGAGAGAUAACAAACACCACUUGCACAUUCCCGGGUUUUCUUCUUUCAGGGCCAAUGAGAAGCAGAGUAUGGGCGGGUCUUCGCAUAAUGAAAUAAUGCAGCAGGCGCCAAAUUCGCACACCCCACCAUAGCACCCCACUGAGAGCAAUCGUUAUAGUGCCAGCCUGCGAAAUAUUGAGUUUGUACAAACUUGGUGAGAUUUAAUCAUGAUUUGGCGUUGUGUUAUAUGUCUAGUAUUCGUGGCUUUGUCUUUGAGAAUGCUUCUUGGACAUAUUAGUUCAAGACAUGGUAGAAGUCCUAAUUUCCAUGUCACCUGUGGGGUAGAUGGCUGUGCAGCAGAUUAUAGAGUAUACAACUCUUUUUUCUACCACCUAAAACGCAAACACACGGCAUUUGUGGCCAGUGGUCGCCCACCAAGUCAUCCAGCCUUCCUGCAUGUUGAUUCAGCCAGGCUUGGCAAAGACAAUUAUGAUAUUCCGAUUUUUCGUGGCUGUAUCACCUUGGAUGGCAUGCGGGUGACACCAUCACAGCAGGAAGGCUUGGAUGGAUGGCGGGAUACCCAACAAGAGCCUAAUCAUACAGGCGCCGAAAUUCCAGUAGAGGACACAGAAAAUCAAGGCGGGAAUCUGGAACCGGUGCAAAUUGAGAAUCCAGAAAACAUGGGAGAGGCAUCCUCUGCUACGACCACAGUCUGUCCCGGCAUUCUGCAGCAUUUGCUCUAAAUAUCCGUGAGAGAUGCUACUUAUCUCAGGGGAAUGUCAACAAUGUUGUUUCAGAUGUGCAACAGUACCAAGCCUCCCUUCUAGACAACCUCAGGGACAAGAUCAAGAAUGCUUUUGACACCCAUGUUGGAAGUGAGGAGAAUCUCCAAACAACAGUCCUAGCAGUAUUUGAUGACUUUAAAGACCCCUUCUCAAAAGUCUCAUCUACGCAUCUACAGGACCGUAGCAUUCGGCAUUUGUUUAACCCUGUUGAGCCUGAGGAGGUGGUCAUAUCACGAACUGCAUAUAGAACUAAGAAAACAAUUUCAAGAGCUCUUACCAUUAAAACUAACUCAUUUUAUUAUGUGCCAUUAUUCAAGAGCUUCGAGGAGUUGUUUUUUGAUCCCCGGAUAUUCACAAUGAUAAGCUCCAUACCUAAGAGGUGUAAAGAGGGUUUUUUAUAUGAUAUAGUUGAUGGUGAACUUCUUAGGGACCACCCACUGUACUCCGUCAGACAUUCCGCUUUGCAGAUAAUUUUAUAUACUGACGAAAUUGAAAUAUGCAAUCCACUUGGAGCACAUGCAAGAAAGAACAAACUGUUAAUGGUUUAUUACACUUUAGGAAAUAUAGAUCCUAAGUAUAGAUCAAAUCUGUCUGCAAUUAGAUUGCUAGCCAUUGCAAAAUCAAGUGAGCUGUCUCAGUGUGGUGUGGAUGUGAUUUUAGAUAGAAUCAAAAAAGAUUUAGAUGUGUUGUACCACGGUGUUAAAAUCCAAACAGCUGUUGGUGAGAGGAUCAUGUAUGGUGCUGUGGUUUCCCUUUGUGGGGAUACAUUGGCUCAACAUGAGUUUGCAGGUUUUAAAGAGGGUGUUGGUUUUGCUCUUUGUAAAUGUAGGCAUUGUGAGAUGACAUGAAAAAUAACUUUGAUGAGAAAUGUUUCAACAAAAGAACAGUAGAGCGACAUCUGCGCCAGUGUUCUGAUAUUGAGAGGGCCAGCACAGAUUUUGUAAAGAACAAUUUAAAAACAACAUAUGGGAUCAACAGAAAAAGUAGAUUGUGUGAUUUUCCUGGCUUCAAUCUUAUUGAGCAGACCCCAACAGAUAUUAUGCAUAUUAUUCUUGAAGGAGUCGCCCCUAUGGAGAUCAAAUGUGUGCUAAAACAUCUCAUUCUUAGUGGGCAGAUAGAACUGGAUGCAUUUAAUUCAGCUAUGGUCUGUUUCCCUUACUCACCUCAUGAUCUAAGAGACAGACCAUGUCCCAUCACUGUUUCCACAUUGACCUCAAAUGAUAACAGACUAAAACAAUCUUCAGGACAAAUGCUUAUCCUUUUGAAAAUAUUGCCAUUUUUGCUAAAUGACGUCAAAGAGAGUUUGUUUGUGCAGUUCAUCAUUGAAUUGGUAGAGAUAACACGGAUCCUGUUUGCACCAGUCAUCUCACUUACAACAGUUGCAAGGCUUAAAGAAUUGAUAGAGCAGCAUUUGAAAUCAUUUAAGCAGCUUUCCCCAGAAAACAACGUUAUACCAAAACAACAUUAUUUGCUUCAUCUUCCUUCACAAAUUAUGGCUUUGGGUCCUAUGAUUAGACACAUGUGUAUGAGAUUUGAAUCAAAACAUAGGUUUUUUUUAAACGCUGGGCUUCAAAAUUACAUUUUAAGAACAUUUGUAAGACAUUAGUUCAGCACAAUCAGAGGUUUGAAUGCUCUCACAAUGUGAAUGGAAGGCAACACCCGGUUUUUUCAAAUGAGAAGGAACUGGGCCCAACAUCUGAAGUUGUAAACACAGACUAUGUACUGUCGAAACUGAGAGACUACAUUGGUACUUGUGACGUGCAAACUGUUGUGUCACUCAAGUGGCUUAUCCUUAAUGGGAACAAGUAUACGAGUCAUAAGUCAUUGAUAAUCAGUGGUUUUAAUGACCAGCAUCUACCAGUAUUUGGGCUAAUCAAAGAUAUCUGGCUGGUGAACACUUAUUUAUACUGCUUUGAAUAUCAGCCCUAUGACACUUUGGGCUUCAGCAAAGAUUUGCUUGCAUAUGAAGUAGACAUCCCUGAUCUUGCACAAGCCACAGAGGUAGUUGAUGUUGAGAAGCUAGUUGAUUUUACAGCUUAUUAUGCAGUUACUUUUAAAGACCACCAAUAUGUUCCAAUUAAGUACAACCUCAAUGAUGUUAUGGAAUUGAGCUGUUAAGCUGGUGAUAAAUGAAGGUCUCUUGGUGUGUGUGAAAGCACUGACAGUCACCCCUACAAUCUCGAGUCAAAGAUAUAUUGUAAUAUUUAUUUUUGUUAUCCAUAUCGCUCAGCCAUACUUGGUGUGUUAAGCUGUUCAUGUUUAAAUGUGUAAUGUGGCAUGGAUUGUUUGAUAGUUUGGUGUGAUAUAUGAAAAGCACCACAACCUCAGAAAUUAAGAUAUAUUAUUCUUUAUCCAGUAUUGCUUAUGCAUAUCAUCAGUUAUUCUGGUCCAUAUCCUUUAGGAGAGUGUGUUAUGAUGAUUAUUUUGUGAUUAUCAUUAAAAGAGAUGUUA